rnacentral:rRNA from 1 species
CACGUAUUUAGCCGUUCCUUUCUGGUAAGAUACCGUCACACAUUGAACAGUUAAUCUCAAUGUCAUCCUUCUCUUACAACAGUGUUUUACGAGCCGAAACCCUUCAUCACACACGCGGCGUUGCUCCAUCAGGCUUUCGCCCAUUGUGGAAGAUUCCCUACUGCUGCCUCCCGUAGGAGUAUGGGCCGUGUCUCAGUCCCAUUGUGGCCGAUCAGUCUCUCAACUCGGCUAUGCAUCAUCGUCUUGGUGAGCCAUUACCUCACCAACUAACUAAUGCACCGCGGGACCAUCUCUUAGUGAUAGCAGAACCAUUCUUUAAGUAGACAACCAUGCGGUUGCUAUUGUUAUACGGUAUUAGCUAUCUGUUACCAAUGUUACUCCCUGCUAAGGUAGGUACGUUCCACGUGUUACUCUACCCGUUCGCCUACUCUUGCCUAAUCGUCCACUUCGUCUAUA